GCGAGCUGAGAUAAGGGGGGACUUUACCUAGCAGGGUCUUGUAGAUGACAUAGAGCCAGUGGGUUUGGCGACGAGUAUGAAGCGAGUCUAUCCCAAGUCUAUCACCCCCACACGUAUCCAGGAGAAUUGCCAGGUGUUUGACUUUGUGUUGAGCGACGAGGAAAUGAAGACCAUUCUGGGCUUCAACAGGAACUGGAGAGUCUGCCCAAUGAGAGGGUGUUUGACUUUGUGUUGAGCGACGAGGAAAUGAAGACCAUUCUGGGCUUCAACAGGAACUGGAGAGUCUGCCCAAUGAGAGGGUGAGGCCCUACGUGGUUUAUUUUGACCAAUGUACUGUAUUUUACAGUAUACACUCUCUCUGCAGAGGCUCAAACUGUUUAAAUAAGUAUUAUGAAGUCAAAUCAUCAUUUUAAUGUGAUGAUGACAGCUAUGUGUGUUAUGAUGUUACUUUUCUUUGCAUGCAAAUAUACUUCAUGUUUAUUUGAUUUCUGAACAUGUGAAAAACUGUACUGUCUCUCUGAAUGGUGUUUCCCUACUUCUUUCCCUACUUUCCCUACUUCAAUGCUGAAUUUUAAGGAAAGUUACAUCUGGUGCUAUGACUUGGUUGAGAUGUCUGUCCUCUCUCUGUUUAGAUUCAUUAUUAUUUCUCCCUUUAAGACAAUAUGCAUAAAUAGCCAUCCUUGAGCUAGUUUCUAGCGAUUGACUGAUUUAGUAUCUGUGUGUUUCAGUAUUGUAUUUCUCAUGACAUAUACACUCUGACCUAUGUUAUAGCAUGCUAACCUAGCAUAAUGCACAAUGGUAAUGGUAGGAUUGAAAAAAGCUUGAGGGUUUGGUAGGAAAUCUGGAGCCUAGGAUCUGCUAACGCACAGUAGGGUGUUUGUGGCUUCUCACAUGACCUAGUUUGUUUGUCUCUUUCGAUUUGAGUCUCCAAUGGUCUCUCUCAAACUUUUUCAUCCACAUUUACAGGCCAUACAUUACCAAUAUGACUUUAUAGAAUUGAUGUUAACCAUAGGAAUUCAUAGUUUAACCAUAGGAGCUGGGUAUGUCAUACCUGGUCUUACUGAAGUAAGUUACAGAAAUACCACAAUGGUACAUGGACAUUGUAUGUGAUGUACAGUAUUACAUAUCAACUGUGAGAUUUUUCAUUUAAAUCCAUCUGUUUUUGUUUCAGGGAUAAAAACAGCCAACGAGUAGAAAAUUGGCAUAUAGACAUAGUAUAGACAUAGCUUAUCCAAAUAGUACAUUGACCUAUAUGCAUUAAGAUAUUUUGUUGAACACUCCCUUCCAUCAAAUUCCUACUCAUAGGAGCCGUUUUCCCUAGAAAUAGUCAUCCACACUCCUUGCCUAACAGGAUAAAGCACUUCUACCCAUUGACUGACUCAUGAUGUGGGUUGAGACUGUUGUGAAAUUCCCAGUUCCCUUUUGUGAAAGGUUAAAUACAUUUAUUUUUUACCAAUAAAGCUUUCUUUGCUCCAGUCAUUGUGCAGUUGAUAAGAAAAUAUUCAUAUAUCAUGGUUAGCAGUUUAAAUAUAUCGAAAUACAUGACAUCUUAGUGCAGAACAUCAAUAAAUUCUGGAAUUAAUCACA